AUGGUUUUUUGUAGAAAGUUAUUCAAAUUUAAAUCUAUUUACCAGCGGAAGUAGGUGGCAGCACUAGGCCGGCGUUAGUACAGAGAAGUUUGCGUGCGUGCGUUUGUUCGAAUUUAGGAUGUGUUUUUUCGGCAAAAAAUACCAUUUUCGUGAAUAAUUUCCGUUGAAAUGUUGUGUAAGACAUUAGACACGUCUUUUAAAAGUGUUUUUUGCUUUGAACUGGACAACUGUGUGCCCCAAUAUCAUCACCAACUCCUCCUCCAGAAGAUGAUUCUCAAAAGCUUCUGGAACCCUUAGGAGUCACUUACAGCAUUCAAGGGUAGCACAGUUGAGGAUUUGUGGUUACGGUCAGUUUAAGAAGAUGAAGAUGAAGAUGGUUCAGUAGCAGAGACAUACAGUUAAUGGUAUCG